GAUGAACGCUGGCGGCGUGCUUAACACAUGCAAGUCGAACGAAGCAUUUGCGACAGAUUUUUUCGGAAUGAAGUUGCUUAUGACUGAGUGGCGGACGGGUGAGUAACGCGUGGGUAACCUGCCUUGUACUGGGGGAUAGCAGCUGGAAACGGCUGGUAAUACCGCAUAAGCGCACAAUGUUGCAUGACAUGGUGUGAAAAACUCCGGUGGUAUAAGAUGGACCCGCGUCUGAUUAGCUAGUUGGUGAGAUAACAGCCCACCAAGGCGACGAUCAGUAGCCGACCUGAGAGGGUGACCGGCCACAUUGGGACUGAGACACGGCCCAGACUCCUACGGGAGGCAGCAGUGGGGAAUAUUGCACAAUGGAGGAAACUCUGAUGCAGCGACGCCGCGUGAGUGAAGAAGUAAUUCGUUAUGUAAAGCUCUAUCAGCAGGGAAGAUAGUAACGGUACCUGGCGAAGAAGCUCCGGCUAAAUACGUG
rnacentral:rRNA from 1 species